rnacentral:rRNA from 1 species
UGCCAGCCGCCGCGGUAAUACGGAGGGUCCAAGCGUUAUCCGGAUUUAUUGGGUUUAAAGGGUUCGUAGGCGGUAAUAUUAGUCAGUGGUGAAAUCCUGCAGCUCAACUGUAGAACUGCCAUUGAAACUGUAUUACUUGAGUAUACUUGAGGUAGGCGGAAUAUGUAGUGUAGCGGUGAAAUGCUUAGAUAUUACACAGAAUACCAAUUGCGAAGGCAGAUUACUAACAAUUAACUGACGCUGAGGGACGAAAGCGUGGGUAGCGAACAGGAUUAGAUA